rnacentral:rRNA from 1 species
AUGGUGUCGUUCUGUUGCUCUGCAUCUGUUGAAUGGGCUCUGUUUUAUGUGUGUUUUGCUGGUUUCUGUGCCUGCGUUGCUAUGCUUAUGUUCUUAUGGAUCUAUCUAGGUUUAUUUUGCAGGUUUGAAGAGUUGCUCUGUUUCUGCAUCUGCACCUGCAACUUGCUACUGCCGCUCAAGGUUUUCUCUCCUUUUCCACCGCAUGUGCUUUCUUUUUGGCUCAAGAUGUAUUUAUCUUUUCCUGCAUACUGUUCAUUUAUUGAUUGUCUCAUUGUGCCGGGUUUGUCCAAGGGUCGUGUUAUUUUUCAGUUUCGUGUGACUUUCGUUUCAUGCACAUAUUUGGUGGUUGCCUAUGGGCAGAAUACAUGCCAAGUUUUCUCUGGAUGA